UACGGAGGGUGCAAGCGUUAUCCGGAUUCACUGGGUUUAAAGGGUGUGUAGGCGGGCUGUUAAGUCAGUGGUGAAAUCUCCGGGCUCAACCCGGAAACUGCCAUUGAUACUAUCAGUCUUGAAUUUUGUUGAGGUAGGCGGAAUAUGUCAUGUAGCGGUGAAAUGCUUAGAUAUGACAUAGAACACCGAUUGCGAAGGCAGCUUACUAAGCAAAUAUUGACGCUGAGGCACGAAAGCGUGGGGAUCAAACAGG
rnacentral:rRNA from 1 species